UGCGGGGUCGUCUAAUGGUAGGACACGACACUCUGAAUGUCGGUAUUGGGGUUCGAAUCCCUGCCCCGCAG
rnacentral:tRNA from 1 species